rnacentral:rRNA from 1 species
GACGAACGCUGGCGGCGUGCUUAACACAUGCAAGUCGAACGGAAAGGCCCUGCUUUUGUUGGGUUCUCGAGUGGCGAACGGGUGAGUAACACGUGAGUAACCUGCCCUUGACUUUGGGAUAACUUCAGGAAACUGGGGCUAAUACCGGAUAGGAGCUCCUGCUGCAUGGUGUGGGUUGGAAAGUUUCGGCGGUGGGGGAUGGACUCGCGGCUUAUCAGCUUGUUGGUGGGGUAGUGGCUUACCAAGGCUUUGACGGGUAGCCGGCCUGAGAGGGUGACCGGCCACAUUGGGACUGAGAUACGGCCCAGACUCCUACGGGAGGCAGCAGUGGGGAAUAUUGCACAAUGGGCGGAAGCCAGAUGCAGCAACGCCGCGUGCGGGAUGACGGCCUUCGGGUUGUAAACCGCUUUCGACUGUGACGAAGCGUGAGUGACGGUAAUGGGUAAAGAAGCACCGGCUAACUACGUG